rnacentral:rRNA from 1 species
GAGUUUGAUCGUGGCUCAGAGUGAACGCUGGCGGUAGGCCUAACACAUGCAAGUCGAACGGUAACAGGUCUUUCGGGAUGCUGACGAGUGGCGGACGGGUGAGGAAUACAUCGGAAUCUGCUCAGUCGUGGGGGAUAACGCAUGGAAACGUGCGCUAAUACCGCAUACGACCUUCGGGUGAAAGCAGGGGAAUCUCUCGGGAUCCUUGCGCGAUUGAAUGAGCCGAUGUCGGAUUAGCUAGUUGGUAGGGUAAAAGCCUACCAAGGCCACGAUCCGUAGCUGGUCUGAGAGGAUGAUCAGCCACACUGGGACUGAGACACGGCCCAGACUCCUGCGGGAGGCAGCAGUGGGGAAUAUUGGACAAUGGGGGCAACCCUGAUCCAGCCAUACCGCGUGGGUGAAGAAGGCCUUCUGGGUUGUAAAGCCCUUUUGUUGGGGAAGAAAAACAACGGGUUAAUACCCCGUUGGUAUGACGGUACCCAAAGAAUAAGCACCGGCUAACUUCGUGCCAGCAGCCGCGGUAAUACGAAGGGUGCAAGCGUUACUCGGAAUUACUGGGCGUAAAGGGUGCGUAGGUGGUUGCGCCAGUCUGUCGUGAAAGCCCUGGGCUUAACCUGGGAAUGGCGAUGGAAACUGUGCAACUAGAGUGUGACAGAGGGUGGUGGAAUUCCUGGUGUAGCAGUGAAAUGCGUAGAGAUCAGGAGGAACAUUCGUGGCGAAGGCGGCCACCUGGGUCAACACUGACACUGAGGCACGAAAGCGUGGGGAGCAAACAGGAUUAGAUACCCUGGUAGUCCACGCCCUAAACGAUGCGAACUGGAUGUUGGGUCCAACUUGGGAUUCAGUAUCGAAGCUAACGCGUUAAGUUCGCCGCCUGGGGAGUACGGUCGCAAGACUGAAACUCAAAGGAAUUGACGGGGGCCCGCACAAGCGGUGGAGUAUGUGGUUUAAUUCGAU